rnacentral:rRNA from 1 species
UUACGACUACAUAUCAGGCAUAUCAAUAAGCGGAGGAAAAGAAACUAACAAGGAUUCCCCUAGUAACGGCGAGUGAAGCGGGAAGAGCUCAAAUUUGAAAUCUUAAAGGGUUUCCCUUUGCGAAUUGUAGUUUAAAGAAGUGUUUUCUGUUGGAGUUUCGGUAAAAGUUCUUUGGAAUAGGACAUCAUAGAGGGUGAGAAUCCCGUAUUUGACCAUUACUUCCAGCGUUGUGAUACACUUUCAAAGAGUCGGAUUGUUUGGGAAUGCAGUCCAAAAUGGGUGGUAAAUUUCAUCUAAAGCUAAAUAUUGGCGAGAGACCGAUAGCGAACAAGUACCGUGAGGGAAAGAUGAAAAGAACUUUGAAAAGAGAGUUAAACAGUACGUGAAAUUGUCAAAAGGGAAGCGUUUGACACCAGUGUUGUUUUCUCGAAAAUCAAUUAAAAAGAUGUUGGAUUUUGUAUUGUUAAGACCUUAUCAGCUUACUGUACUUUUUUCUGCUCUUUUUAAUGCACUUUUCGUUUAACAAGUCAACAUCAAUUUCUUUUGUUGUAAAAGAGGUCAUUGGAAGGUGGCUUUCACUUCGGUGAAAGUGUUUAUAGCCUUUGGCUUCUACAAUCGGAGAGAUUGAGGUCUGCAGCGUAGAUCCUUCGGGAUUAGAUACAUUUGUGCUAAGUUAUAGUUUUUCAUAGACAACAUGUUGACUAUGAUUAAUCAUGUAGCUUACUCGCUUAUGCUAUUUUACCUACGCUUAGGAUGUUGAUCUCUCACAGUCGAGC